AACACGUGAGUAACCUGCCCUUGACUCUGGGAUAAGCCUGGGAAACUGGGUCUAAUACCGGAUAUGACCAUUCCACGCAUGUGGUGGUGGUGGAAAGCUUUUGCGGUUUUGGAUGGACUCGCGGCCUAUCAGCUUGUUGGUGGGGUAAUGGCCUACCAAGGCGACGACGGGUAGCCGGCCUGAGAGGGUGACCGGCCACACUGGGACUGAGACACGGCCCAGACUCCUACGGGAGGCAGCAGUGGGGAAUAUUGCACAAUGGGCGGAAGCCUGAUGCAGCGACGCCGCGUGAGGGAUGACGGCCUUCGGGUUGUAAACCUCUUUCAGUAGGGAAGAAGCGUAAGUGACGGUACCUGCAGAAGAAGCGCCGGCUAACUACGUGCCAGCAGCCGCGGUAAUACGUAGGGCGCAAGCGUUAUCCGGAAUUAUUGGGCGUAAAGAGCUCGUAGGCGGUUUGUCGCGUCUGCUGUGAAAGACCGGGGCUCAACUCCGGUUCUGCAGUGGGUACGGGCAGACUAGAGUGCAGUAGGGGAGACUGGAAUUCCUGGUGUAGCGGUGAAAUGCGCAGAUAUCAGGAGGAACACCGAUGGCGAAGGCAGGUCUCUGGGCUGUAACUGACGCUGAGGAGCGAAAGCAUGGGGAGCGAACAGGAUUAGAUACCCUGGUAGUCCAUGCCGUAAACGUUGGGCACUAGGUGUGGGGGACAUUCCACGUUUUCCGCGCCGUAGCUAACGCAUUAAGUGCCCCGCCUGGGGAGUACGGCCGCAAGGCUAAAACUCAAAGGAAUUGACGGGGGCCCG
rnacentral:rRNA from 1 species